CCAUCAACAUUACCUUUAUUCAACAUGCUGUCAAUGCAGCAUUGUGGGUUUUCUCUGCUAUUUCUUUCCAUUCUAACAGGUAUCAGCUGUCAAGAACUAACUCCAAUCCAGAAAGAAGAGAACAGUGUAGAAGGCAGCUCUGUUACUCUGUCCUACAAAUACUCCAAACAAGCAACUAGUAGUGAUUACUUCUUCUGGUAUCGACAAUAUCCUGGAAAACCACCAGAGUUCAUCAUCUCUCAUUCUGCCUCACAGCAAGAAGGAGGAAUAUUGACAAGUGCAAUCGCUGGACUGAAGAUUAAAGUGGAGGACAAACAAAUCCAUAUGAAUAUCUCCUCAGCUAAGGUGUCUAACUCUGCUGUGUACUACUGUGCUGUGAAGCCCACAGUGACAGGAAAC